rnacentral:rRNA from 1 species
UACGUAGGUGGCAAGCGUUGUCCGGAAUUACUGGGCGUAAAGCGUGCGCAGGCGGUUCGCUAAGACAGAUGUGAAAUCCCCGGGCUUAACCUGGGAACUGCAUUUGUGACUGGCGGGCUAGAGUAUGGCAGAGGGGGGGUAGAAUUCCACGUGUAGCAGUGAAAUGCGUAGAGAUGUGGAGGAAUACCGAUGGCGAAGGCAGCCCCCUGGGCCAAUACUGACGCUCAUGCACGAAAGCGUGGGGAGCAAACAGG